rnacentral:lncRNA from 1 species
AUGGAAGCAAUUGGAGUGGAAGCAAAAAUGGCUCACCUUCUAACCUAUGCAAUAGUUUCUCUCUUCUUCUCAGUUUCCUCUGCAGUAGUUGACCUCAUCCCUGAACACAACUUUGUUACUUGCGUUGCCAACCAGUCUCCACAAUACUCAGCCACCAUAAGCAAAUUGGUGUACAGCCCUCAUUCCCCUUCAUUUUCAUUUAUUCUUCAGUCCUCUAUACAAAACUUCAGGUUCAACAGCACCAAAUUUCAUAAGCUUCAAUACAUCAUUACACCGUAUAGCGCUGAUCACGUCAAAGCUGCAAUCAUUUGUAGCAAAGUACAUGGCCUGCAAGUCAGGAUUCGAAGCGGUGGUCACGACUAUGAGGGGCUCUCAUAUAAUUCAUAUGUCCCCUUUAUCAUCAUUGAUCUUGUCAACCUUAAUAAUGUGAGAGUUGACAGCAACAAUGGCACUGCAUGGGUUCAAGCUGGUGCCACAGUUGGUGAGCUUUACUAUCAUGUUGCCAAUCAGAGCAAAGGCCAUGGCUUCCCAGCUGGUGUUUGCCCUAGUAUGGGGGCUGGGGGACAUAUCAGUGGUGGUGGACAAGGCACAUUGAUGAGAAAAUUUGGCCUUGCUGCUGAUAAUGUUGUAGAUGCAAUUGUGAUUACUGCUGAUGGAAAUAUUCUUGACAGGCAAGGAAUGGGUGAGGAUUUCUUUUGGGCCAUUAGAGGAGGUGGAGGAGGAAACUUUGGAGUUGUAGUUGAAUGGAAGAUCAAUUUGGUUCCAGUUCCUUCUAAGGUGACAGUUUUCAACAUCCCAAGAACCCUUGAACAAAAUGCAACCAAAUUGAUUCACAGGUGGCAACAGAUUGCUCACAAGUUUCAUGAAGAUCUAUUCAUAAGAAUCAUUAUAUUUGUAGGCAAGGAUUCUAAGGGUGGAAAAACAAUCCAGGCCAAUUUCAAUUCAUUGUUUCUUGGAACCAGUGAUCAACUAGUCCCACUGAUGGCGAAAAGCUUUCCUGAGUUGGGCUUGAAGCCUGAGGACUGCAAGGAAAUAAGUUGGAUCCAGUCCACUAUUUAUAGUAAUGGUGAAAACCCAGGACAGCCCUUGGAGGUUUUGUUAGACAGAAACCAUGUUCAAAAAGGCUUCUUCAAAGGCAAAUCAGAUUUUGUGACUGAACCCAUUUCAGAAACAAACUUAGAAGCCAUAUGGAAGGUAAUGCAAGAAGGUGAGGCUGGUGUUAUGGUUUGGGAUCCUUACGGUGGAAAAAUGUGUGAGAUUUCAGAAUCUUCAAUUCCAUUUCCACAUAGGGCUGGAGUUUUACACAACAUACAAUACUUCAGCAAAUGGCAAGAGGGGGGAUAUUUGGCUGAGCAGAGGCAUUUGAAGUGGAUGAACAGAAUUUACAACUUCAUGGCUCCAUUUGUGACUAAAAACCCUAGGACUGCAUAUGUCAACUACAGGGAUUUGGACAUUGGGAGAAAUAUCCAUGGAAUAUUUUCUGAAGCCAAGAUUUGGGGUGAAAAGUACUUCAAGGGAAAUUUUGAUCAAUUGGCUCAUAUAAAGGGUAUGGUUGAUUAUGGAAACUUCUUCAAGAAUGAGCAAAGUAUUGCACCAAACUUUUAUCUAU